ensembl:ncRNA F32B5.16 ncRNA
CGACUCCCAGAAUAUAUAUUCUCAUGUCAGAGUUUCAGCUCGCGCGUGGAACGGCUCAAACAGAAAAGUUGAUUUACAAACUUCAAAAUGAUGACAAAUCACGUGUUCUGGGCAUACCGCUCCGGACGCAGCUGCGCUGGGAGCCCCCUCAAAUUGGCUUCAGAGUUGCGCGGUCCCUGAUUAAAGGGAGCAAGGAAAUAUUUCUGAAAAUUGCCCUUUUUU